rnacentral:rRNA from 1 species
UACGAAGGGGGCUAGCGUUGUUCGGAUUUACUGGGCGUAAAGCGUACGUAGGCGGAUCUUUAAGUCAGAGGUGAAAUCCCAAGGCUCAACCUUGGAACUGCCUUUGAUACUGGGGAUCUCGAGUCCGGGAGAGGUGAGUGGAACUGCGAGUGUAGAGGUGAAAUUCGUAGAUAUUCGCAAGAACACCAGUGGCGAAGGCGGCUCACUGGCCCGGUACUGACGCUGAGGUGCGAAAGCGUGGGGAGCAAACAGG